UGGGGGAAUCCUCCGCAAUGGGCGCAAGCCUGACGGAGCAACGCCGCGUGAGUGAAGAAGGGUUUCGACUCGUAAAGCUCUGUUGUCGGGGACGAAUGUGGAGAUGGUGAAUAACUAUUUUCAAUGACGGUACCUGACGAGGAAGCCACGGCUAACUACGUGCCAGCAGCCGCGGUAAUACGUAGGUGGCGAGCGUUGUCCGGAAUUAUUGGGCGUAAAGGGAGCGCAGGCGGGAGGCCAAGUCCAUCCUAAAAGUUCGGGGCUCAACCCCGUGAGGGGAUGGAAACUGGUCUUCUUGAGUGCAGGAGAGGAAAGCGGAAUUCCUAGUGUAGCGGUGAAAUGCGUAGAUAUUAGGAGGAACACCAGUGGCGAAGGCGGCUUUCUGGACUGUAACUGACGCUGA
rnacentral:rRNA from 1 species